ensembl:miRNA
CUCUGCUUUGGUCAGGUGGUGCCCUCCUUCCAUGGGUGGAGCCAGAGAUGGCGGGUUCUGGCUGGUCAGAUGGGAGUGGACAGAGA